rnacentral:rRNA from 1 species
UAAGUAAGUGGUGGAAAUUAAACCAAAUGGGAUUCCUUUAGUAAUUGCGAAUGAACAAGGAUAUGCUUAGCUUGAUAAAUGGGGCUUCUGGCUUUGAAUUGUGUUUUUGAAAUGUAUUACCAACAGAGGUGCAGGUGUUAGCAUAUUGGAAGAAAGCGUCAAUGAGGGUGAGAAUCCUUUUUGUCAUGUGCAGUCCUCUGUGCACGGUGUAUGUUUGCUGAGUCACACUCCUUGGCAUUGGAAUGCAAAGUGGGUGGUAAGUUUCAUGUAAAGGUAAAUAUAUGAUUGAGACUGAUAGUGCACAAGUACCAUGAGGGAAAUAUGAAAAGGACUUUGAAAAGAGAAUUAAAUGAGUUUGUAUUUGCUGAACAGAAAGUAAACAGAUUUGAUUUUGCUGAGUGAGAUUGUGGUGCUUGCUUGACACUCUAAUGUGGCUGUAAGUACCAUGAUUCUUGCUUUGUGUGCCAGUUUUUUACACAUUUGAACAUACUGGCGUAUGAAUGGUAAUAUUCCUGUGGGGGUUGGAAUGCAUGCGUAUGUAAGCAUUUGUGUUCUGAACUAUGUGUUUGGUGAUAUUGUGUGUGCGCAAUUUGUACCUGAGGUUGCUUUCUUCCUGGGUCAACAAGCCUUAACAC